GCUCGUAGUUGGAUGUAUGGCGGCGGGCGGGUGGUGUGCCGCGAGGCGCUACUGCCGGCCCGGGCCACGAUGCUGGGGACGGGCCCUUGCGGGUGCGGAACCAGGGAUUACUUUGAAGAAAUUAGAGUGUUUAAAGCGGGCGAUAGCUUGAAUACAUUAGCAUGGAAUAAUGGGAUAGGACUGCGGUCUUAUUUUGUUGGUUUGAGGGCAGCAGUAAUGAUUAAUAGGGAUAGUUGGGGGCAUUUUGUAUUCAGUAGUCAGAGGUGAAAUUCUUGGAUUUACUGAAGACAGACUAGUGCGAAAGCAUUUGCCAAGGAUGUUUUCAUUAAUCAAGAACGAAAGUUAGGGGAUCGAAGACGAUUAGAUACCGUCGUAGUCUUAACCAUAAACUAUGCCGACUAGAGAUUGGCGGAUGUCGUUAGCGACGCCGUCAGCAUCUUACGAGAAAUCAAAGUGUUUGGGUUCUGGGGGGAGUAGUGGUCGCAAGGCUGAACUUAAAGGAAUU
rnacentral:rRNA from 1 species